GCCACCUUUGACUCCUCCCUCCCGUCCUCCCCGUCUCUGAGCAGUCCGACCGCAAGUCCCUCUCACUCACUAACGAGGCUGAGUGACACUCCCUUCAACAGCGUUCCCUGCCCUGGGAAGGUGGGUGUGACCUUCCAGCCAACGCGUGCGAAGAUUAACGAAACACACUCACCGAUUCUGCGCUGGCGUGAAGGCUCUCACCCCGCAUCCCGUCCGGAGAGACUGACGGGCACGCGGCCAAGCAGGCGGCUUCCUGAGUGGCCGUGGCCCUGAAGAGCCACAGCCUGGGCCCCGCCGUCCGCUCAGGAACCAGUGCUCCACAUCACCAGGAUGUGAACCCGCCUCCCAGUCAAAGGGCGAAGUCUCUGCAGAGAACCCCAUUGCUACCAAGCGCUCCUCCAAGGUUCUGUGUUCCUGGAAUCCGCACACCGGGCUGCCAGCAGAAUCCAGUUUUCAAUCGUAGAAGGCAACAUAUAAAGAACUAAUGAACACAGAGUAAAUAAAAUCACCAAGUCCGUGUGAGUCCUCCCCCUCAACAUUUCUCGUAUAUCUUGAAUCCAUCCAUCAUCGCUAUCAAUCUCUGAACCCCGGCCAUCAUCCCUAC
rnacentral:lncRNA from 1 species